AGGGGCGUAGCUCAGCUGGUAGAGCAGCGGUCUCCAAAACCGCAGGUCGCGCGUUCGAACCGUGCCGCCCCUG
rnacentral:tRNA from 1 species